rnacentral:rRNA from 1 species
CCUACGGGAGGCAGCAGUGAGGAAUAUUGGUCAAUGGGCGCAAGCCUGAACCAGCCAUGCCGCGUGCAGGGAGAAUGCCCUACGGGUUGUAAACUGCUUUUAUUUGGGAAUAAACCUUUCUACGUGUAGAAAGCUGAAGGUACCAAUUGAAUAAGCACCGGCUAACUCCGUGCCAGCAGCCGCGGUAAUACGGAGGGUGCAAGCGUUAUCCGGAAUCAUUGGGUUUAAAGGGUCCGCAGGCGGACCUAUAAGUCAGUGGUGAAAGCCUACAGCUUAACUGUAGAACUGCCAUUGAAACUGUAGGUCUUGAAUUCGGUCGAAGUGGGCGGAAUGCGUAGUGUAGCGGUGAAAUGCAUAGAUAUUACACAGAACACCGAUAGCGAAGGCAGCUCACUAGGCCUGGAUUGACGCUCAGGGACGAAAGCGUGGGGAUCAAACAGGAUUAGAUACCCUGGUGGUCCACGCCGUAAACUAUGAUUACUCGUUUUCGGCGAUAUACAGUCGGAGACUAAGCGAAAGUGAUAAGUAAUCCACCUGGGGAGUACGAUCGCAAGGUUGAAACUCAAAGAGUAGUACGGACGCGNGAGAGACGACGACGACGACGACGGAGGGAGGAGG